rnacentral:rRNA from 1 species
GAUGAACGCUGGCGGCGUGCCUAAUACAUGCAAGUCGAGCGAACGGACGAGAAGCUUGCUUCUCUGAUGUUAGCGGCGGACGGGUGAGUAACACGUGGAUAACCUACCUAUAAGACUGGGAUAACUUCGGGAAACCGGAGCUAAUACCGGAUAAUAUUUUGAACCGCAUGGUUCAAAAGUGAAAGACGGUCUUGCUGUCACUUAUAGAUGGAUCCGCGCUGCAUUAGCUAGUUGGUAAUGUAACGGCUUACCAAGGCAACGAUGCAUAGCCGACCUGAGAGGGUGAUCGGCCACACUGGAACUGAGACACGGUCCAGACUCCUACGGGAGGCAGCAGUAGGGAAUCUUCCGCAAUGGGCGAAAGCCUGACGGAGCAACGCCGCGUGAGUGAUGAAGGUCUUCGGAUCGUAAAACUCUGUUAUUAGGGAAGAACAUAUGUGUAAGUAACUGUGCACAUCUUGACGGUACCUAAUCAGAAAGCCACGGCUAACUACGUG